ACAUCAUUCCAGUAGUCAAUUGGCCCAGGCAAGCACCAAUGUAGACAAUCAUUCUGAACUGUGGCAUUUUUGUCCUCAGCAAAUGGAUGGAACUGUCUGUAUGGGCCUGGAUGACCAUCAGGCCUUGAUACUAAAAGAUUUGUGAAGUCAAGAAGUUUAAGAUUUACUCCAUUUUCAGCAGCUUUUGCUGAUGCCUUCUCAAACUCUGCUAAUUCAGUUUCACGCAGAAUCCUGUUCAAGUCCUUCAUUUCCAUCUCACCCUCUUUAGAA
rnacentral:misc_RNA from 1 species